UAGAGAUAGGGCUUUUCCUUCGGGGGCAGAGUGACAGGUGGUGCAUGGUUGUCGUCAGCUCGUGUCGUGAGAUGUUGGGUUAAGUCCCGCAACGAGCGCAACCCUUGAUCUUAGUUGCCAGCAUUAAGUUGGGCACUCUAAGGUGACUGCCGGUGACAAACCGGAGGAAGGUGGGGAUGACGUCAAACUAUCAUGCCCCUUAUGACCUGGGCUACACACGUGCUACAAUGGACAGAACAAAGGGCUGCAAGACCGCAAGGUUUAGCCAAUCCCACAAAUCCGUUCUCAGUUCGGAUCGCAGUCUGCAACUCGCCUGCGUGAAGCUGGAAUCGCUAGUAAUCGCGGAUCAGCAUGCCGCGGUGAAUACGUUCCCGGGCCUUGUACACACCGCCCGUCACACCACGAGAGUUUGCAACACCCGAAGUCGGUGAGGUAACCUUUAUGGAGCCAGCCGCCGAAGGUGGGA
rnacentral:rRNA from 1 species